AUCCAGUUAACGAAUCCCAAAUAGGACGAAACACGCGUGUCUUGGAU
rnacentral:hammerhead_ribozyme from 1 species